UACGUAGGGGGCUAGCGUUAUCCGGAAUUACUGGGCGUAAAGGGUGCGUAGGUGGUUUUUCAAGUCGGGAGUGAAAGGCCACGGCUCAACCGUAGUAAGCUCUUGAAACUGUAAAACUUGAGUGCAGGAGAGGAGAGUGGAAUUCCUAGUGUAGCGGUGAAAUGCGUAGAUAUUAGGAGGAACACCAGUUGCGAAGGCGGCUCUCUGGACUGUAACUGACACUGAGGCACGAAAGAGUGGGGAGCAAACAGG
rnacentral:rRNA from 1 species